UCAUGAGGAGACUUCUUUAGAUGACGAGUCUGAUGGGAUUCCCACUGAAGACACCAUCUUUUAAAUACCAUUCAUGCCUAACUGAGC
rnacentral:snoRNA from 1 species